rnacentral:rRNA from 1 species
UACGUAGGGGGCAAGCGUUGUCCGGAAUCAUUGGGCGUAAAGCGCGUGUAGGCGGCCCGAUAAGUCCGCUGUGAAAGUCCAGGGCUCAACCCUGGGAUGCCGGUGGAUACUGUCGGGCUCGAGUCCGGAAGAGGCGAGUGGAAUUCCUGGUGUAGCGGUGAAAUGCGCAGAUAUCAGGAGGAACACCAAUGGCGAAGGCGGUUCUCUGGGCCUGUACUGACGCUGAGGAACGAAAGCGUGGGGAGCGAACAGG